rnacentral:tRNA from 1 species
GCCCCUGUAGCUCAGAGGAAGAGCAGCGGUCUACGAAGCCGCGUUUGCGCAGGUUCGACUCCUGCCGGGGGCG